rnacentral:rRNA from 1 species
AGUGAACGCUGGCGGUAGGCCUAACACAUGCAAGUCGAACGGCAGCACAGUAAGAGCUUGCUCUUACGGGUGGCGAGUGGCGGACGGGUGAGGAAUACAUCGGAAUCUACUUUUUCGUGGGGGAUAACGUAGGGAAACUUACGCUAAUACCGCAUACGACCUACGGGUGAAAGCAGGGGAUCUUCGGACCUUGCGCGAUUGAAUGAGCCGAUGUCGGAUUAGCUAGUUGGCGGGGUAAAGGCCCACCAAGGCGACGAUCCGUAGCUGGUCUGAGAGGAUGAUCAGCCACAAUGGAACUGAGACACGGUCCAGACUCCUACGGGAGGCAGCAGUGGGGAAUAUUGGACAAUGGGCGCAAGCCUGAUCCAGCCAUAACGCGUGGGUGAAGAAGGCCUUCGGGUUGUAAAGCCCUUUUGUUGGGAAAGAAAAGCAGCAGGUUAAUACCCCGCUGUUCUGACGGUACCCAAAGAAUAAGCACCGGCUAACUUCGUG